rnacentral:rRNA from 1 species
GAGGGCAUGGAAGGUUUUCGUAGGUGACCUGCGGAAGGAUCAUUAUCGUACAAGCGAGGUGCGAGGGCUGUCGCUGACCCCUUUGAAAGGUCGUGCACGCCCGAGCGCUCUCAUCCCAAUCCAUCUCACCCCUUUGUGCAUCACCGCGUGGGUCCGCCUUUGCGGGAGGGGCCCACGUUUUCACAUAAAACAUGAUACAGUCUAGAAUGUUUAUUUUUGCGGUAACACGCAAUCAAUACAACUUUCAACAACGGAUCUCUUGGCUCUCGCAUCGAUGAAGAACGCAGCGAAAUGCGAUACGUAAUGUGAAUUGCAGAAUUCAGUGAAUCAUCGAAUCUUUGAACGCACCUUGCGCCCCUUGGCAUUCCGAGGGGCACACCCGUUUGAGUGUCGUGAAAUUCUCAAAAUCCUUUUCUUUGACCGGAAUAGGACUUUUGGACUUGGAGGUUCAAUGCUCGCUUUUGCCUUUGAAAGCGAGCUCCUCUCAAAUGAAUUAGUGGGGUCCGCUUUGCUGAUCCUUGACGUGAUAAGAUGCUUCUACGUUUUGGAUUUGGCACUGUUUUCUCCGCUCCCAACUGUCUCAUGGACAGCGAUGGUGCUCCGGUCGCCGCGUCUAUGGCGGGAGGCUGGACCCACAAACAACCUUGACCUCAAAUCCAAGAGAAAGAGAGGGCUGAACAUGGGA